UCUGCAUUGCAUAAGCUUUGUGAAGAUGCUUCGGCAGUUAUGCAGGAUCUAUAAAAUCUUGAAGUUUUGAUCUGGAUAGGCGAGGACUUGGAGAAAUGGAAUCUUUCAUAUGAAGAGGAAGAGGAAAUUGUUAGUGCAAUAACUCUUACACUCAAUACAAUUGUUAACAAGGAGCUGAAGAAGAGUUCACUGUCUAGAUUACUUUCUUCUAGCUACAAAGCCAUUGAGAAACUUAUACACAGUGGUAGGUGUUUUGUCCCAGUCUCAAGCCGUCAAUCCAUUUUGAUCAAUAUAUCUAGUAGAAGUAAGCAUGCAGAUCAUUGUCUUUGAGGCCGGCUAGCUAUUUUGUGCUUUUUUUUUUGUUUUAAAUUUGAAUGUCACUAACUACUUUGAAACAGAAAUAUUUAGUCUUUGUGUAUAGUUGAAUUCUCCUGU